rnacentral:rRNA from 1 species
GGCGGCGUGCCUAAUACAUGCAAGUCGAGCGGACAGAUGGGAGCUUGCUCCCUGAUGUUAGCGGCGGACGGGUGAGUAACACGUGGGUAACCUGCCUGUAAGACUGGGAUAACUCCGGGAAACCGGGGCUAAUACCGGAUGGUUGUUUGAACCGCAUGGUUCAAACAUAAAAGGUGGCUUCGGCUACCACUUACAGAUGGACCCGCGGCGCAUUAGCUAGUUGGUGAGGUAAUGGCUCACCAAGGCAACGAUGCGUAGCCGACCUGAGAGGGUGAUCGGCCACACUGGGACUGAGACACGGCCCAGACUCCUACGGGAGGCAGCAGUAGGGAAUCUUCCGCAAUGGACGAAAGUCUGACGGAGCAACGCCGCGUGAGUGAUGAAGGUUUUCGGAUCGUAAAGCUCUGUUGUUAGGGAAGAACAAGUACCGUUCGAAUAGGGCGGUACCUUGACGGUACCUAACCAGAAAGCCACGGCUAACUACGUGCACGUAGGUGGCAAGCGUUGUCCGGAAUUAUUGGGCGUAAAGGGCUCGCAGGCGGUUUCUUAAGUCUGAUGUGAAAGCCCCCGGCUCAACCGGGGAGGGUCAUUGGAAACUGGGGAACUUGAGUGCAGAAGAGGAGAGUGGAAUUCCACGUGUAGCGGUGAAAUGCGUAGAGAUGUGGAGGAACACCAGUGGCGAAGGCGACUCUCUGGUCUGUAACUGACGCUGAGGAGCGAAAGCGUGGGGAGCGAACAGGAUUAGAUACCCUGGUAGUCCACGCCGUAAACGAUGAGUGCUAAGUGUUAGGGGGUUUCCGCCCCUUAGUGCUGCAGCUAACGCAUUAAGCACUCCGCCUGGGGAGUACGGUCGCAAGACUGAAACUCAAAGGAAUUGACGGGGGCCCGCACAAGCGGUGGAGCAUGUGGUUUAAUUCGAAGCAACGCGAAGAACCUUACCAGGUCUUGACCUAGAGAUAGGACGUCCCCUUCGGGGGCAGAGUGACAGGUGGUGCAUGGUUGUCGUCAGCUCGUGUCGUGAGAUGUUGGGUUAAGUCCCGCAACGAGCGCAACCCUUGAUCUUAGUUGCCAGCAUUCAGUUGGGCACUCUAAGGUGACUGCCGGUGACAAACCGGAGGAAGGUGGGGAUGACGUCAAAUCAUCAUGCCCCUUAUGACCUGGGCUACACACGUGCUACAAUGGACAGAACAAAGGGCAGCGAAACCGCGAGGUUAAGCCCACAAAUCUGUUCUCAGUUCGGAUCGCAGUCUGCAACUCGACUGCGUGAAGCUGGAAUCGCUAGUAAUCGCGGAUCAGCAUGCCGCGGUGAAUACGCUUGUACACACCGCCCGUCACACCACGAGAGUUUGUAACACCCGAAGUCGGUGAGGUAACCUUUUAGGAGCCAGCCGCCGAAGGUGGGACAGA